CAUUUUGUGGGUGGACAUGUUACAGCCCUGUCCCUUUUACCUUUAUUUUUUUUUUUUUUUGUUGUUGUGAGAUUGCAGGGACAGAGGCUCCUCCUUGAUGGGUAGGACUCCAGUGCUGAUCAUGGGCUGCACCUGUGGCACGCCUAUUUAAGAGGCUCAUGGAACGGAGUUCACUCGCUCUCAUUUUUGUUUUUGUGUCUUUGUUUGAAGAGUGGGUUGAUAUUUUGAUGUUCCCAUUUGUUUUCCACAAGUCCACAAACCCCAUUUCCGACAGUUAUUUGGUCGUUACAAGUACUUCAGAUAAUUAAAGGAAAACGACUGGACUCCUGAACGGAAGCAGAGAUGGUCUGAAGAGCUGGACAAGAUCCUGAUGCCUUUCUGGCCAGAGAGAUCCAAUGCAUGCGAGAAGCUGACUGAAAGGCAGCAGGCCUUCUUCAGCUAUAUGAUGGACGUGCUGAAGAUCGGAGAAACCUGGAGACAAACACGGUGAGGGUCCUCAACAAAGGGGUUUCCAGGGGCGUCUGGGAGGAGGACUGGACUCCUGUGGGAUUUAAAGCAACAUUCAAGCAAUACAUUGUAGAAAAAAUAAAAAAAAUCACAUUACAGAGAGACAAAAGAAACUCUUCCAGAAGAGAGAACUUGAUAGGCUCAGAAAAAUGGUUGGUUAGGAAGAAGUGUUCAGUUGGCUUUAUUUCUAAGUUUUUGUUGUAGUUUUCAUGUAUAAAAAGCGUCACAGCAUUUAGUAGUAUAGCACAACACAACGAUACACAGUUAUAGCCACGUUCUCUAAAUAUUUAUAUGUAAGUUUAUUUUAUUUACCGGUGACAUUUUAUUUUUAUUUUAUUUUUGAUGUUUCUUCUAUUCUGUUUUGGUCAUUUCUUUUGAACGUUAAACAGCUUGUGUUGCAAUAUUUGUGUAAAACUGUGUGUGUUUUCCCCCAAAUUGCAUUACUGUUCAAUAAUUUGUGCCAUAUACAUAUAGUUUGACUUUUCACUUUCACUUUUCACUUUAAAUGAACUAAAGCAAAUUAGGAGUAGAACAGCAAAAGACUCCACUGGUUUGUCCUGAACGUCAGUGUCUCAAGUUUUCCACCAGAGGGCAGCAGAGGCUUUUUUAAUGUGAAGCCCCCAGGUUCUGUUCUCUGUUAUCGCCUUAAGUUUAACAGGGAUGCAGAUUGGUUAGGAUUAGAAAAAAUCCAAGAGCUGAAGCACAGUCCCGCUCUGGUAAUGCGCAGUCCUUCAAUACUCCUUCUGGCCGCUCUCCUGCCUCGGCCAAGGCCUGCCCCCAUGGCCUAGGCCCACUACUUCACCACCAAUAUAUUUGGUCAUUUUUAUCGUUGAACCACAGAUAAUGAGAUUUUUAAACGUAUGCACGAGUAUUGUUUUUAAUAAUGAGGGUUAUUUAUUAAGGUUUUUAUAGUAUUUAUUAAUAUUCAUGGGUA